rnacentral:lncRNA from 1 species
UGCUGUGUGGGUCAGACUUCAUAGCUUUAAGGAUACUUCCAAUUUUAAAAUUGAUAAUGUCAAGUUUUUUAUAUCCUUGAAUUAUAACUGGCUUAUAUGUGUGCAUUUUUGUAUAGGAGUUAAAAGGUGUGAGUAACAGAGAAUAUGUACUCUUGUGGAAGACAGAAGCCUAGCAAGACCCCUGUUUUUAGUAAAACAAAUCCCAUGAAAGACUGUGGAGAAGAUAAGGAUUACUUAGGACUGUCUUCAGCAGAGGUGAAGUCUGAUCCACCGAUAUGUAYGAACAAGAAAUGUUAUUUGAAAAAGAAAUGAAAACAAACAAAAUCGCUGUCUACUGCCUACCUUCAGAUACAAAGAACCUGAUCCUGUGAGAUACCAAGUAUCCUGAACCGUGGCAAAGUCAACAGCAGCURAGACCCUAGCAGAUCACUUCUGGCUGGUCUGGUGAUAAAACCUGUGCCUCAAACAUAGCAGAGUCUCUGCUGUUUGUAUAUCUUCC